rnacentral:rRNA from 1 species
AGAGUUUGAUCCUGGCUCAGGAUGAACGCUAGCUACAGGCUUAACACAUGCAAGUCGAGGGGCAGCAUGGUCUUAGCUUGCUAAGGCCGAUGGCGACCGGCGCACGGGUGAGUAACACGUAUCCAACCUGCCGUCUACUCUUGGACAGCCUUCUAGAAAGGAAGAUUAAUACAAGAUGGCAUCAUGAGUCCGCAUGUUCACAUGAUUAAAGGUAUUCCGGUAGACGGAUGGGGUUGCGUUCCAUUAGAUAGUAGGCGGGGUAACGGCCCACCUAGUCUUCGAUGGAUAGGGGUUCUGAGAGGAAGGUCCCCCACAUUGGAACUGAGACACGGUCCAAACUCCUACGGGAGGCAGCA